rnacentral:rRNA from 1 species
GUGUCAGCCGCCGCGGUAAUACGUAGGCAGCGAGCGUUGUUCGGAAUUACUGGGCGUAAAGAGUGUGUAGGCGGUGUUCCAAGUCUGGUGUGAAAUCUCCCGGCUUAACUGGGAGGGUGCGCCGGAAACUGGAAUGCUCGAGGGUGGGAGAGGUAAGCGGAAUUCCUGGUGUAGCGGUGAAAUGCGUAGAUAUCAGGAGGAACACCUGUGGUGUAGACAGCUUACUGGACCACUUCUGACGCUGAGACACGAAAGCGUGGGUAGCAAACAGGAUUAGAUACCCCCGUAGUCC